UGCAUUUGAAAACAUGAUUUUAAGCAGGGGUCCUUCAUCUUCUGCAGUUGAUACAGGUGGUGUAGACUGUCAUAAAAGUUUGGAAGUCUUGCCUUAAAUUAUCUCAUCAUCAUGCCCAUUUCAUUAGAUGCCUUUCCUUUAUUCAUUCAAGACAAAUGUUCUGAAUAUCCACAAUAUACCAGAUAUGCAUAGAUCACUGGAAAUACAAACACAGAGCCAGACAUGGUGGCACAUGCCUGUAAUUCCAGCAAUUUGGGAGGCUGAAACAGGAGGAUUGUGAGUUCAAGGACAGCCUCAGCAACUUAUCAAGACCAUGUCUCAGAAUAAAAAAUAAAAGGGGAUGUAGCUUAGUGGCGGAGCACUCUGGAUUCAAUCCCCAACAAAACACACACACACACACACACACACACACACACGAAAAAGAAAAAGUGAGAAAGGCACAUGUGCUCUGACAUUGACCUGGUCACUGCCUGGCCAGAUCCCAAUCUCCAGCCACCUUGCCAGAUGCUGGAAAGGCAAGAUCCAUGAGGCUCAGAAAGCUUAAGAUGGGGCAAGUUUACCAUGCUAGAAGAACACAGGUUCUCCCUUGGGAAGUAGGGUAAUGGUAAGACCCAGGGGAGAGGAGGUGUGGCCUUAGCAUAGUCAUCAUCAUAUGCAAAUGACUCUGUUAAAGGAGCCGCCUGUCCCCUGUAAAACUCAGUGAGAGAGGCCCUGGGAUGACAAGGGCAAGCAGUGAUAGGCCCUCAUAAACCUUGCUGGGAAUUUGGGCUUUAACCCUCAAAAUUGUGCCUGAUUUCUAAGGCAGAAAGAGGAGUGGAGGUUGGGGUUGUAUUUACAUUUUGUAAUGGUCAUUUGGGCAGGAAAGGAGAGCGGGGUGGAAAGAAUAAGAGGGGGACCAGUAAGAGGCUCUUUGAGGGUAAAAGGGUCCAGAAUACACCACUGUGGCAUAAAAUGUAUUUGAGCUAAAGACAUUCGGAAUAGCCUUUUAACUAAACUCCUUUAUGUGCCUAAAGAUAAUCUCAUAAAAAAACUCAGUUGUUGUAAUUGACUCCCAGGGAGCAAACCAGGAAAAGAUUAACUCUUAGACUCUUAUCACUGGAGAAGUCUUGCACCACACCCAAAUAGACAUUCUCACAAAACAGGUCACAAAUUGUAUUAUUUUUCCCUAAAAGUCAUUUGUUUGCUGGCAAAUGUCCAUCUUUUCCUUCCUCUAUUAUGUUGAUAGGUAUAUGAGCCCCCAAGUUCUAACUGCCUAGCAUAUAAAUUAAAAAAAUCUGAGGCUGGGGUUGUGGCUCAG
rnacentral:lncRNA from 1 species